GACGAACCACACAAACGUUAUUCGGAAUUACUGGGCUUAAAGGGUGCGUAGGCUGCGCAGUAAGUUGGGUGUGAAAUACCUCGGCUCAACCGAGGAACUGCGCCCAAAACUACUGUGCUUGAGGAAGAUAGAGGUGAGCGGAACUUACGGUGGAGCGGUGAAGUGCGUUGAUAUCGUAAGGAACACCUGUGGCGAAAGCGGCUCACUGGGUCUUUUCUGACGCUGAUGCACGAAAGCUAGGGGAGCAAACAGG
rnacentral:misc_RNA from 1 species